UACAGAGGCCCCAAGCGUUACUGAGAAUCACUGGGUUUAAAGGGUGCGUAGGUGGUCCGUUAAGUUCGUUGUGAAAGCCCUGGGCUCAACCCAGGAACCGCUUCGAAUACUGGCGGACUUGAGGCGAGUAUGGGUCACUGGAACUGACGGUGGAGCGGUGAAAUGCGUAGAUAUCGUGAGGAACACCAGAGGCGAAGGCGGUUACCUGGACAGUUACUGACGCUCAGGCACG
rnacentral:rRNA from 1 species